AUUGAACGCUGGCGGCAGGCCUAACACAUGCCAGUCGAGCGGAUGAAGGGAGCUUGCUCCUGGAUUCAGCGGCGGACGGGUGAGUAAUGCCUAGGAAUCUGCCUGGUAGUGGGGGAUAACGUCCGGAAACGGGCGCUAAUACUGCAUACGUCCUGAGGGAGAAAGUGGGGGAUCUUCGGACCUCACGCUAUCAGAUGAGCCUAGGUCGGAUUAGCUAGUUGGUGGGGUAAAGGCCUACCAAGGCGACGAUCCGUAACUGGUCUGAGAGGAUGAUCAGUCGCACUGGAACUGAGACACGGUCCAGACUCCUACGGGAGGCAGCAGUGGGGAAUAUUGGACAAUGGGCGAAAGCCUGAUCCAGCCAUGCCGCGUGUGUGAAGAAGGUCUUCGGAUUGUAAAGCACUUUAAGUUGGGAGGAAGGGCAGUAAGUUAAUACCUUGCUGUUUUGACGUUACCAACAGAAUAAGCACCGGCUAACUUCGUG
rnacentral:rRNA from 1 species